AUUGCACGCUGGCGGCAGGCUUAACACAUGCAAGUCGAGCGGACCUGAGGUGCUUGCACCUUAGCUUAGCGGCGGACGGGUGAGUAAUGCUUAGGAAUCUGCCCAUUCGUGGGGGACAACAUGCCGAAAGGAACGCUAAUACCGCAUACGUACUACGGGACCAAGCAGGGGACCUCCGCACCUUGCGCUAAUCGAUCAGCCUAAGCGGGAUUAGCUAGUUGGUGGGGUAAAGGCCGACCAAGCCGACGACCCGUAGCGGGUCUGAGAGGAUGAUCCGCCACACUGGGACUGAGACACGGCCCAGACUCCUACGGGAGGCAGCAGUGGGGAAUAUUGGACAAUGGGGGAAACCCUGAUCCAGCCAUGCCGCGUGUGUGAAGAAGGCCUUAUGGUUGUAAAGCACUUUAAGCGAGGAGGAGGCUACUGAGACUAAUACUCUUGGAUAGUGGACGUUACUCGCAGAAUAAGCACCGGCUAACUCUGUGCCAGCCGCCGCGGUAA
rnacentral:rRNA from 1 species